CUCGUGUUUAUCUUGAAAAACCAUUUUAUUGUACUCGUGUUAUUGAUACGAUCUCGCUUGAUAAUGACUAAAACUUUUGUGCACUGAACCGAAGAUAUGGUGCAAACUCGUCAUCCUCUCGCGCAGUUAUACGGCAUUCUUCGUAUUGCACUCCGCUCGUGUUAUUGACAAAACCAUUUUAUUGAGUACUUGUGUUAUUUACAAAACCAUUUAUGGACAACAGCGGAACUAACCGUAGAUAACCGCCAGUAGUAUACAAAAUAGGGGUUCUGGCGCGGGUGGUGCACUAAGCACCA